GUGAGGAAUAUUGCGCAAUGGAGGCAACUCUGACGCAGCCAUGCCGCGUGCAGGAAGAAGGCGCUACGCGUUGUAAACUGCUUUUAACCGGGAAGAAACCCCAGGACGUGUCCUGGGUUGACGGUACCGGAGGAAUAAGCACCGGCUAACUUCGUGCCAGCAGCCGCGGUAAUACGAAGGGUGCAAGCGUUAUCCGGAUUCAUUGGGUUUAAAGGGUGCGUAGGCGGAGCGUUAAGUCAGUGGUGAAAUCCUGCAGCUUAACUGUAGACUUGCCAUUGAUACUGGCGCUCUUUAGUGCGCUUGAAGUGGGCGGAAUGUGCCGUGUAGCGGUGAAAUGCUUAGAUAUGGCACAGAACACCAAUUGCGAAGGCAGCUCACUAAGGCGAUACUGACGCUGAGGCACGAAAGCGUGGGGAUCGAACAGGAUUAGAAACCCGUGUAGUCC
rnacentral:rRNA from 1 species